rnacentral:rRNA from 1 species
ACUACGGGGAGGCAGCAGUGAGGAAUAUUGGUCAAUGGGCGCGAGCCUGAACCAGCCAAGUAGCGUGAAGGAUGACUGCCCUACGGGUUGUAAACUUCUUUUAUAAAGGAAUAAAGUGAGGCACGUGUGCCUUUUUGUAUGUACUUUAUGAAUAAGGAUCGGCUAACUCCGUGCCAGCAGCCGCGGUAAUACGGAGGAUCCGAGCGUUAUCCGGAUUUAUUGGGGUUAAAGGGAGCGUAGAUGGGUUGUUAAGUCAGUUGUGAAAGUUUGCGGCUCAACCGUAAAAUUGCAAUUGAUACUGGCAGUCUUGAGUACAGUUGAGGUAGGCGGAAUUCGUGGUGUAGCGGUGAAAUGCUUAGAUAUCACGAAGAACUCCGAUUGCGAAGGCAGCUUACUAAACUGCCACUGACAUUGAUGCUCGAAAGUGUGGGUAUCAAACAGGAUUAGAUACCCCAGUAGUC